rnacentral:misc_RNA from 1 species
GUUUCCGUAGGUGAACCUGCGGAAGGAUCAUUAUUGUAUAACCGAGGGGCGAGGGCUGUCGCUGACCCGAAAGGUCGUGCACGCCCGAGUGCCCUCACACACAUCCAUCUCACCCCUAUGUGCACCACCGCGUGGGUCCCCCUUUGGCUUGUUCGGAGGGGGGCUUACGUUUUCACACAAACUUUGUAUGCAGUGUAGAAUGUAUUUUUUGUUUUUGCGAUCACGCAAUCAAUACAACUUUCAACAACGGAUCUCUUGGCUCUC